rnacentral:rRNA from 1 species
AUUGAACGCUGGCGGCAGGCCUAACACAUGCGAGUCGAGCGGUAGAGAGAAGCUUGCUUCUCUUGAGAGCGGCGGACGGGUGAGUAAUGCCUAGGAAUCUGCCUGGUAGUGGGGGAUAACGUUCGGAAACGGACGCUAAUACCGCAUACGUCCUACGGGAGAAAGCAGGGGACCUUCGGGCCUUGCGCUAUCAGAUGAGCCUAGGUCGGAUUAGCUAGUUGGUGAGGUAAUGGCUCACCAAGGCUACGAUCCGUAACUGGUCUGAGAGGAUGAUCAGUCACACUGGAACUGAGACACGGUCCAGACUCAUACGGGAGGCAGCAGUGGGGAAUAUUGGACAUGGGCGAAAGCCUGAUCCAGCCAUGCCGCGUGUGUGAAGAAGGUCUUCGGAUUGUAAAGCACUUUAAGUUGGGAGGAAGGGCAUUAACCUAAUACGUUAGUGUUUUGACGUUACCGACAGAAUAAGCACCGGCUAACUCUGUGCCAGCCGCCGCAGUAACAC